rnacentral:rRNA from 1 species
CAGCCGCGGUAAUGCGGAGGGUGCAAGCGUUAAUCGGAAUUACUGGGCGUAAAGCGCACGCAGGCGGUCUGUCAAGUCGGAUGUGAAAUCCCCGGGCUCAACCUGGGAACUGCAUUCGAAACUGGCAGGCUAGAGUCUUGUAGAGGGGGAUAGAAUUCCAGGUGUAGCGGUGAAAUGCGUAGAGAUCUGGAGGAAUACCGGUGGCGAAGGCGGCCCCCUGGACAAAGACUGACGCUCAGGUGCGAAAGCGUGGGGAGCAAACAGGAUUAGAUACCCUGGUAGUCCACGCCGUAAACGAUGUCGACUUGGAGGUUGUGCCCUUGAGGCGCGGCUUCCGGAGCUAACGCGUUAAGUCGACCGCCUGGGGAGUACGGCCGCAAGGUUAAAACUCAAAUGGAUUGACGGGGGCCCGCACAAGCGGUGGAGCAUGUGGUUUAAUUCGAUGCAACGCGAAGAACCUUACCUACUCUUGACAUCCAGAGAACUUUCCAGAGAUGGAUUGGUGCCUUCGGGAACUCUGAGACAGGUGCUGCAUGGCUGUCGUCAGCUCGUGUUGUGAAAUGUUGGGUUAAGUUCCGCAACGAGCGCAACCCUUAUCCUUUUGUUGCCCAGC